rnacentral:rRNA from 1 species
GACGAACGCUGGCGGCGUGCUUAACACAUGCAAGUCGAGCGGAAAGGCCCUUCGGGGUACUCGAGCGGCGAACGGGUGAGUAACACGUGAGUAAUCUGCCCUUGGCUUCGGGAUAGCCACCGGAAACGGUGAUUAAUACCGGAUACGACCACUCCUGGCAUCAGGUGGUGGUGGAAAGUUUUUCGGCCAGGGAUGUGCUCGCGGCCUAUCAGCUUGAUGGUGAGGUAAUGGCUCACCAUGGCUUCGACGGGUAGCCGGCCUGAGAGGGUGACCGGUCACACUGGGACUGAGACACGGCCCAGACUCCUACGGGAGGCAGCAGUGGGGAAUAUUGGACAAUGGGCGGAAGCCUGAUCCAGCAACGCCGCGUGAGGGAUGACGGCCUUCGGGUUGUAAACCUCUUUCAGCAGGGACGAAGCGCAAGUGACGGUACCUGCAGAAGAAGCACCGGCCAACUACGUGCCAGCCGCCGCGGUAACAC